rnacentral:rRNA from 1 species
UACGUAGGGCGCAAGCGUUAUCCGGAAUUAUUGGGCGUAAAGAGCUCGUAGGCGGUUUGUCGCGUCUGCCGUGAAAGUCCGGGCUCAACUCCGGAUCUGCGGUGGGUACGGCAGACUAGAGGUAGGUAGGGAGAAUGGAAUUCCGGUGUAGCGGUGAAAUGCGCAGAUAUCGGGGGAACACCGGUGGCGAAGGCGGUUCUCUGGGCCGUUACCUGACGCUGAGGAGCGAAAGCGUGGGGAGCGAACAGGAUGAGACGUACCCGAGUAAGC